CGCUGGCGGCGUGCUCACACAUGCAAGUCGAACGGACGGUAGCAAUACCGUUAGUGGCGGACGGGUGAGUAACACGUGAACAACGUGCCUCCUUCACGGGGAUAACACCGGGAAACUGGUGCUAAUACCGGAUAAGACCCCGAGAUCACAUGGUCUUGGGAUGAAAGGCGGAGCAAUCUGCCGAGAGGAGAGCGGUUCGCGUCCCAUCAGCUAGUAGGCGGGGUAACAGCCCACCUAGGCGACGACGGGUAGCCGGCCUGAGAGGGUGUACGGCCACACUGGAACUGAGACACGGUCCAGACUCCUACGGGAGGCAGCAGUGGGGAAUCUUGGUCAAUGGGGGAAACCCUGACCCAGCGACGCCGCGUGCGCGAUGAAGGCCUUCGGGUCGUAAAGCGCUGUCUUCAGGGACGAACGACGAGGUGAGUAACUGCGCUUCGUGUGACGGUACCUGAGGAGGAAGCCACGGCUAACUACGUGCCAGCCGCCGC
rnacentral:rRNA from 1 species